rnacentral:ncRNA from 1 species
GUGAUCUAGCCAUGGGCAGGUUGAAGGUUGAGUAACAUCAACUGGAGGACCGAACCGACUAAUGUUGAAAAAUUAGCGGAUGACUUGUGGCUAGGGGUGAAAGGCCAAUCAAACUCGGAGAUAGCUGGUUCUCCCCGAAAGCUAUUUAGGUAGCGCCUCGGACGAACACUACUGGGGGUAGAGCACUGUUAAGGCUAGGGGGUCAUCCCGACUUACCAACCCUUUGCAAACUCCGAAUACCAGUAAGUGAUAUCCGGGAGACACACGGCGGGUGCUAACGUCCGUCGUGGAGAGGGAAACAACCCAGACCGCCAGCUAAGGUCCCAAAGUUAUCGCUAAGUGGGAAACGAUGUGGGAAGGCUCAGACAGCCAGGAUGUUGGCUUAGAAGCAGCCAUCAUUUAAAGAAAGCGUAAUAGCUCACUGGUCGAGUCGGCCUGCGCGGAAGAUGUAACGGGGCUAAGCGAUACACCGAAGCUGCGGCAUCAGUCUUAGGACUGUUGGGUAGGGGAGCGUUCUGUAAGUGGUUGAAGGUGUGCCGGGAGGCAUGCUGGACAUAUCAGAAGUGCGAAUGCUGACAUGAGUAACGAUAAAGGGGGUGAAAAACCUCCUCGCCGGAAGACCAAGGGUUCCUGUCCAACGUUAAUCGGGGCAGGGUAAGUCGGCCCCUAAGGCGAGGCCGAAAGGCGUAGUCGAUGGGAAACGGGUUAAUAUUCCCGUACUGCUGAUAACUGCGAUGGGGGGACGGAGAAGGCUAGGUGGGCCAGGCGACGGUUGUCCUGGUUCAAGUGUGUAGGCGGAUGGUUUAGGUAAAUCCGGACCGUUGUUAACGCUGAGACACGAUGUCGAGCUACUACGGUAGUGAAGUCAUUGAUGCCAUGCUUCCGGGAAAAGCCUCUAAGCUUCAGGUUAUCAGGAACCGUACCCCAAACCGACACAGGUGGUCGGGUAGAGAAUACCAAGGCGCUUGAGAGAACUCGGGUGAAGGAACUAGGCAAAAUGGUACCGUAACUUCGGGAGAAGGUACGCUCCCAGCGGUGAUGAGGCUUGCCCUCUAAGCUGCCGGGAGUCGCAGAUACCAGGUGGCUGCAACUGUUUAUUAAAAACACAGCACUGUGCAAAAUCGAAAGAUGACGUAUACGGUGUGACGCCUGCCCGGUGCCGGAAGGUUAAUUGAUGGGGUUAUCUUCGGAGAAGCUCUUGAUCGAAGCCCCGGUAAACGGCGGCCGUAACUAUAACGGUCCUAAGGUAGCGAAAUUCCUUGUCGGGUAAGUUCCGACCUGCACGAAUGGCGUAAUGAUGGCCACGCUGUCUCCACCCGAGACUCAGUGAAAUUGAAAUCGCAGUGAAGAUGCUGUGUACCCGCGGCUAGACGGAAAGACCCCGUGAACCUUUACUACAGCUUGGCACUGAACAUUGAGCCUACAUGUGUAGGAUAGGUGGGAGGCUUUGAAGCAUUGUCGCCAGAUGAUGUGGAGCCAUCCUUGAAAUACCACCCUUGUAUGUUUGAUGUUCUAACUUAGGUCCCUAAUCGGGAUUGAGGACAGUGCCUGGUGGGUAGUUUGACUGGGGCGGUCUCCUCCCAAAGCGUAACGGAGGAGCACGAAGGUGGGCUAAUCACGGUCGGACAUCGUGAGGUUAGUGCAAUGGCAUAAGCCCGCUUGACUGCGAGAAUGACGGUUCGAGCAGGUGCGAAAGCAGGUCAUAGUGAUCCGGUGGUUCUGAAUGGAAGGGCCAUCGCUCAACGGAUAAAAGGUACUCCGGGGAUAACAGGCUGAUACCGCCCAAGAGUUCAUAUCGACGGCGGUGUUUGGCACCUCGAUGUCGGCUCAUCACAUCCUGGGGCUGAAGUCGGUCCCAAGGGUAUGGCUGUUCGCCAUUUAAAGUGGUACGCGAGCUGGGUUUAGAACGUCGUGAGACAGUUCGGUCCCUAUCUGCCGUGGGCGUUGGAUGAUUGAGAGGGGCUGCUCCUAGUACGAGAGGACCGGAGUGGACGAACCUCUGGUGUUCGGGUUGUGUCGCCAGACGCAUUGCCCGGUAGCUAAGUUCGGCAUCGAUAACCGCUGAAAGCAUCUAAGCGGGAAGCGAGCCUCGAGAUGAGUCAUCCCUAGAGAUUACAUCUCUCUAAAGGGUUGUUGAAGACUACGACGUAGAUAGGCAGGGUGUGUAAGCGCUGUGAGGCGUUGAGCUAACCUGUACUAAUUGCCCGUGAGGCUUAACCAU